UUAAACUACUCUCUGACUCCC
rnacentral:tRNA from 2 species